AUGGUGGAGGACUUGAUUCCCUCCCUCCCCCGCCGCCGCAGCCGCUCUGCUCCAGGUUCCCCGCCGCCGCCGCCGCCGCUCUACUCCAGGUUCGCCGACGCCGCCGCUGAUCUGCUCAAGGUUCGCCGCCGCCGCCGCCGCCGCUGCUCUGCUCCAGGUUCGCCGACGCCGCCGCUGAUCCGCUCAAGGAGAUCGUUGGAGAGUCGAUCGGGGAUGAGCGGAGGCAUGCGGCAGAUCCUGAACUUGGGGCUGUAUGACGGGCUCAAACGCGCGUAUUCGCUGCGGCGCCUGAACCUCUCCAAGAUGAAAUUUUUUCACCCGACGGCAGAAGAGGCGGCCGCGCAUGGCAAGGUGCUGCCCGCACUGGCCCUCGACAAGGCCCGUGCCACCAACAGGAAAAGGAUCUGCAACACUAAACUGGCGACGGCGGAGGCGGCGGCGCCCAAGAUGGAUAUCCCAAAAUCCGACCUGGUCAUGGGGCCACCGCAAAUCUCCCCCUGCCUGGCCUCCCGUCGCUUCGUCCAUUUCUUCCCCACCGCCUCGGAGAGCAAGAUCAUCUUGGGCGACCGCGGGAACCGCAUGUUACGCUUCAACAUCGUCGAUGGCUCCCGCUACAUGGAUACCCUGCCAUGCCUCCACGGACUCAAGCAGAUGCCGAUGGUCAUCUCCGUCCCUCCAACGGACGUGCACCUUCCUGAUGGCGAAGACACUGGCGACCUCUACAUCAUCGAUGGCCUCCUCCAUCCGGACAAGGCGGAGGUGCGCCCGCAGUUCGAGGCCCUGCACGGCAUGGUCUUCGGUCACGCCCUCGUCGACGACAGCAUCUGCUUCUCCAUCUGUGGAGCCGAGGGUGCCGGCACCUACUGCUUCCACAUCCCAACUCGUGAGUGGAGCAAAGCUGGCGACUGGCUCAUGCCCUUCAAUGGCAAGGCGGAUUAUGUCCCCGAGCUUGGACUCUGGUUUGGCAUCACACAAGACAACCACCCUUGCGCUGCCGACCUCUCAGGCCUCGUCAGAGGGGAGGAGCUGUCGCCAGACAAGAUGCGGAUCUGGGAGCGUGAUGACCUGCCAGAGGAGUGGCAGCCAAAGAGCUUGCACAAUUCCUGUGCCGUCAGCCUUGGUUCUGGCAGAUUCAUCAUCGUGGACUUCUUGAAUGUCAUGAAAUUCAACAAGGAAUGGAACGAGAUGGAUGCCGUCAAGGAAUUUGCCCUCUUCACCGGUAUGGAGCUAGCCUUCAGCAACGGCAAAGGCAAGAAUGGCAGAAAUGGUGCCAGCAAAGACAAUGGCCACCACAGUAGUGGCACCCAUUGCUCCGGCAAUGAGAGUUGCAACUGCAGUGUCUCUGGCAACAAGAAUGGCGGCAAAGGCAAAGGGGUGAUGCGCGGCCUCCGUGUGAUCAAGCACAAAUCCCAUCGCUACAUGUUUAAGAAGCAACUGAGGAUCGAGGCAGUGCUCUGA
rnacentral:rRNA from 1 species